AUUGAACGCUGGCGGCAUGCUUUACACAUGCAAGUCGAACGGCAGCACGGGCUUCGGCCUGGUGGCGAGUGGCGAACGGGUGAGUAAUAUAUCGGAACGUACCCAAGAGUGGGGGAUAACGUAGCGAAAGUUACGCUAAUACCGCAUACGAUCUACGAAUGAAAGUGGGGGAUCGCAAGACCUCAUGCUCCUGGAGCGGCCGAUAUCUGAUUAGCUAGUUGGUGAGGUAAAGGCUCACCAAGGCGACGAUCAGUAGCUGGUAUGAGAGGACGACCAGCCACACUGGAACUGAGACACGGUCCAGACUCCUACGGGAGGCAGCAGUGGGGAAUUUUGGACAAUGGGCGCAAGCCUGAUCCAGCAAUGCCGCGUGAGUGAAGAAGGCCUUCGGGUUGUAAAGCUCUUUUGUCAGGGAAGAAACGGUAGAGGCUAAUAUCCUUUGCUAAUGACGGUACCUGAAGAAUAAGCACCGGCUAACUACGUGCCAGCCGCCGCCGUAA
rnacentral:rRNA from 1 species